GCUGGGUGUGGCGGCUCAUACCUGUAAUCCCAGUACUUUGGGAGGCUGAGGUGGGUGGAUCACCUGAGGUCAGGAGUUUGAGACCAGCCUGGCCAACAUGGUGAAACCCCAUCUCUA
rnacentral:SRP_RNA from 2 species